rnacentral:rRNA from 1 species
UGGGGAAUAUUGGACAAUGGGCGCAAGCCUGAUCCAGCCAUGCCGCGUGAGUGAUGAAGGCCUUCGGGUUGUAAAGCUCUUUUGGCGGGGACGAUGAUGACGGUACCCGCAGAAUAAGCCCCGGCAAACUUCGUGCCAGCAGCCGCGGUAAGACGAAGGGGGCAAGCGUUGUUCGGAAUUACUGGGCGUAAAGGGCGCGUAGGCGGUCCUUUAAGUCAGGCGUGAAAGCCCUGGGCUCAACCUGGGAAUGGCGCUUGAUACUGUAGGACUAGAGAGUGGGAGAGGUUGGUGGAAUUCCCAGUGUAGAGGUGAAAUUCGUAGAUAUUGGGAAGAACACCGGUGGCGAAGGCGGCCAACUGGACCAUUUCUGACGCUGAGGCGCGAAAGCGUGGGGAGCAAACAG